UCCGAUUGAUCCCGUCGGACCCCACUGCUAUCGAGAUGGGACUAAGGUAUGCUAGUCGAACGACCAGAACUAUGUCUGGAAGUGGCACACUGCUCAGUAACACGUAGCUAACCUACCCUUAGGACGUGGAUACCCCCGAGAAAUUGGGGUUAAUCCGCGAUAGAUGUAAUGUCCUGGAAUGGUAUUACGUCUAAAGGUAUUUCAUACAUGUUUGAAAUAUGCCUAAGGAUGGGGCUGCGGCCGAUCAGGCUGUUGGUGAGGUAAUGGCUCACCAAACCUUUGACCGGUACGGGCCAUGAGAGUGGUAGCCCGGAGAUGGACACUGAGACAAGGGUCCAGGCCCUAAGGGGCGCAGCAACCGCGAAACCUCCACAAUGCACUCACGUGCGAUGGGGCUAUCUCGAGUGCCACCUGAUGAAGGUGGCUUUUCCUUGGUCUUCAAAGCCUUGGGAAUAAGAGGGGGGCAAGACUGGUGUCAGCCGCCGCGGUAACACCAGCCCCUCGAGUGGUGGGGAUGAUUAUUUGGCCUAAAGCGUCCGUAGCCGGCCGAGCAAGUCUUCCGUUAAAUCCAGCGUCUCAAGCGUUGGACCGCGGGAGAUACUACAUGGCUAGAGAGUGGGAGAGGUCAGCGGUAUUCUGGGGGUAGGGGCGAAAUCCUUGAUCCCCGGAGGACCACCAGUGGCGAAGGCUGCUGACUAGAACACGUCUGACGGUCAGGGACGAAAGCUGGGGUAGCGAACCGGAUUAGAUACCCGGGUAGUCCCAGCCGUAAACGAUGCAUGCUAGGUGUUGGGUUGGCCACGAGCCACCCCAGUGCCGCAGGGAAGCCGUUAAGCAUGCCGCCUGGGAAGUACGAUCGCAAGAUUGAAACUUAAAGGAAUUGGCGGGGGAGCACCACCAGGCGUGAAGCCUGCGGUUUAAUUGGAGUCAACGCCGGGAACCUUACCGGGAGCGACAGCAGAAUGAAGGCCAGAUUGAAGAUCUUGCCAGACGAGCUGAGAGGAGGUGCAUGGCCGUCGCCAUUUCGUGCCGUGAGGUGUUCUCUUAAGUGAGAUAACGAACGAGACCCGUGCCACAUGUUGCCACCAGUAUCUAAAGGAUAGCUGAGCACUCUUGUGGGACCGCAGCCGAUAAGGCUGAGGAAGGUACGGGCAACGGCAGGUCAGUAUGCCCCGAAUCUCCCGGGCCACACGCGGGCUGCAAUGGUAUAGACAGAGGGCUGCCACCCCGAAAGGGGGAGCCAAUCCCUAAACUGUACCUCAGUUGGGAUCGAGGGUUGCAACCCACCCUCGUGAACAUGGAAUGCCUAGUAACCGCCAGUCAUCAUCUGGCGGUGAAUACGUCCCUGCUCCUUGCACACACUGCCCGUCGAACCACCCGAAUGAGGUUUGGGUGAGGAAUGGUCGAAUGUUGGCCGUUUCGAACCUGGGCCUCGUAAGGAGGGUUAAGUCGUAACAAGGUG
rnacentral:rRNA from 1 species